CCCUAUUAUAUUUAUGAAAUUUAAUAUGAGGUAGUAAUUGUUAAAUCAUGAAACUUAAAGAAUUUGGCGGUGUUUAUUCAAAUUAGAGGAAUAUGUAUUUUAAAUGAUAAUCCACAAAAGUCUUACUUAAUUUAAAUAAUUUUGUAUAUCUCCGUCUGAAAAAUUUUUUUUAAAAUUUUGUUUGUAAAUUUGAGUAAGUAUAAGUCAGGUCAAGGUGCAGGUUAUAAUUAAGUUAAUAUGUAUUACAUUAAAAUUAUUUAUGAAUAAAUUAAUUAAAAUUAAUAUUGAAAUUGGAUUUAAAAGUAAAUUUAUUUAUGUAAUAAUAAAUUG
rnacentral:rRNA from 1 species